rnacentral:rRNA from 1 species
AACGAACGCUGGCGGCAUGCCUAACACAUGCAAGUUGAGCGAUAACCGGGGCUUGCUCCCGGGGACAGCAGCGCACGGGUGAGUAACGCGUGGAUAACGUGCCCUAGGGUUGAGGAUAACCCACCGAAAGGUGAGCUAAUACUGAAUGUGUUUCUUCGAGGUGCGCCUUGAAGAAAGAAAGCGGGGUAACCCGCGCCCAAGGAUCGGUCCGCGUACCAUCAGUUUGUUGGUGGGGUAAUGGCCUACCAAGACUACGACGGUUAGCUGGUCUGAGAGGAUGAUCAGCCACACUGGGACUGAGACACGGUCCAGACUCCUACGGGAGGCAGCAGUGAGGAAUAUUGCGCAAUGGGGGAAACCCUGACGCAGCGACGCCGCGUGAGUGAUGAAGG